GGAGUGCCUGGCUGGCUCAGAAGGUUGAGCGUCCAACUCUUGAUUUCCACUCUGGUCCCAGGAUCAUGGGAUCGAGCCCUGCAUUGGGCUCUGUGCUGAGCAUGGAGCCUGAUUGAGAUUCUCUCUCUCUCUCUCUCUCUCUCUCUGUUCAUCUCCCUUGCGUGCUCUCUCUCUCUUAAAUUAAAAAAAAAAAAAAGAAUUGCAGGCAUGCAUGACUCCUGCCUAGUGGGAUCUCACCAACUGUUGGGAAAGCUAGCUAACCCCUCUGAGCUUCAGAUGAUUCAACUAUGAGGUGGGGAUAACAAUUCCUACCUGAGGGGUUACAUGAACUAGAAUUUGCAAACACACCAACUGGAGAGCAGGGUGUACAGGAGGCUCUUGGUAAAUGACAGGGAUGCACCAUGAUACAGAUGCUUGACCUGGGAUUGUAGCAAAUUCCAUAGAGCAGAAAAGAGCAUGAAUGUAUAACACUGAGCUCUUUGGUACUUGUAUAUUGUUUUUAAAUAUGUCUGCUUGCAAGAGGCUUUGUAAAGGUCAGCUCUUCCCAGCUUAAUAUGGAAGAUGAUAAAAUCAUCUGGCAGUUUGAGAAGAAAAGGCAGUUGGAUUUAAACAUCACCCUCCCCCCGUGAUUGACAUUUUCUUUUACCAAUUGAGGUGAGAUUUCCUCAUGUUAUUCUACAAAGAAGACUGUGGUGGUGCUCGGCUACGGCUUGGGUGGCUUGUUCCCUGUUUACACCCAACUAUUAUCCUUAUUCUGUCAUUGUCAGUUACUGAAGAAUCCAUCAUGCCCAGGACUCAUGAGAGGGCUUCAUUUCCACUUCCCAAAGAACAGUGGCUGGGGCAGACAACUUCAGGAGAGACCCUGGGUUGCCUGUUUCUGCACAGUCUGCCUGUCAUCUCUUACGGGACCUUCACACAUCAGUGACACCGAUUAUCUCACGUCACAGCCCAUCAGUUGACUGAACUCCAGAAAAAUGUGAAAUUGUCUAACAAGCCUCCAGAUGUGAAUGGCUCCGCUUUGGCCUAAUCACACAUGAUGUUCUCCCAUGUCAUCUGUUCCCAUAGAGUGGCUGCAGCACUCAUCUGUUAGACAAAUACAAUUUCUAGAGCUCUGACUGGGCUAUGCCAGUUACAAGUUUGUUUGUUUGUUUGUUUGUUUGUUUGUUUGUUUGUUUUAAUCCCCAUUCCUCCAUUUCGGGGUGAUUUCCAUUCAUUCUUCUGACUGCACCCUACCAUGCCCUUCUUCCACCCUAUAAUCUUUCCAUCAUCUCAUUCCCUAAAAUUGAUCUAGGUAAUCUGGCAAAAUUAUUUUAAGCACAGGCUUUUAACUGUGUUUGGAGUGAUAGAGCAUAUUGAAAGCUUUGGAACCUCAACUGGGAGUAAUGCACACAUCCUUGUAUAUAUGUCCAACAAGUCUUGGCAGUUUGGAAGCUUAUAUGCUGUUCCCUUUGUGCCCAUUCUCUCUUGAAAAACUAUCAUACCAGGGCCUUUAUAAUCGACCAGGUGUCAGUGGGGAUGGUUGCGGUAAGAACGGUCUCCUUCAAAAGGGUACACAUUGUCUGAAGUGUAAGGAACUGAGGUGGUUGUAGAGAUGAAUAAAAUGGUGGUUCUCCUUCA
rnacentral:lncRNA from 1 species